UAUAAUUAGCCAUAAACACUUGCUUGCUUACUUUCAUGUCUACACAGGUUCGUUCGAUGCAAGGAGUUGGCACAGGAGGCGUCCGAGGCUGUGUAGAGCGGCCGUCUGAACCUGGUGCCACAGCUUACUAUGUUCAACAGAUGCCUGAAGGAAGUGUGUGUAAGGGAGGAUAAAGAGAUCAUGCUGGCCUAUGCAGACGAUGUCGCUGUCGUGACAGGAAGCCAACAAGAUCUUCAAGAGGCCAUGACAAGAUGGAAUGAUGUUUUAAAUAGGGAAGGAAUGAGAAUGAACAAACAAAAAACUUAUUUACUAGUGGACAAGCAACAAGUGAUGGUGUGGCUCUGAGCCACUGUAGUAGGGAUGUUAUGGUUUAAGUGUAGGAAGUUGCAAAUGCUCACCUAACAAUUGCACCUUAGUAGAAAAACACAAACAGGAAGUUUAUGCAAGUUUUUAUCCUUAUAUAAAAUGUUGUAUUGCAUCAAACCUCCAUACAUUACUGUCUCUAUCCAGUAUGAGACCGGUGUUCAGGAAGCACAAGCAUGUGCUGAAUAACAAGAAGCCGGCAUUGGUGAAGGUGACAACAUUUCAUCUAUUUAUACAUACUUUUUAUUAUUAAAGCUUAUCUUAUAAUUAUUUCUGAAGAGAUUGACUAAUUUUUGUAGUAUUUAUGACUUAGAACUAUGAUAAAGCUAUGAAUUGAUAUAAUUCCUGAUUUG